GAGAUUUUAAAGAAAAUUUCUUCUGUGAUUUAGCCAUCAAAUAUUUCUGGGCCUGGAAUGUGCUGUAUCUGCUUUGUACACAAAGUCUGUUGCAUCUGCAGACAUGGAUUUCAACCAGCUGGAAGCAUUCUUGACUGCUCAAACCAAAAAGCAAGGAGGGAUCACAUCUGAUCAAGCUGCUGUCAUUUCUAAA